GACAGAGGGUGCAAACGUUGUUCGGAAUUACUGGGCGUAAAGCGCGUGUAGGCGGCCCUGCAAGUCGGGUGUGAAGUCCCACGGCUCAACCGUGGAAGUGCACUCGAAACUGCAGGGCUAGAGUCCUGGAGAGGAAGGUGGAAUGCUUGGUGUAGAGGUGAAAUUCGUAGAUAUCAAGCGGAACACCGGUGGCGAAGGCGGCCUUACUGGGACAGUGACGUGACGCUGAGACGCGAAAGCGUGGGGAGCAA
rnacentral:rRNA from 1 species